CAGCACCUCAAGUGGUCAGGAUGAUUAUUGGGCCUAAAGCAUCCGUAGCCGGCGCUGUAAGUUUUCGGUUAAAUCUGUACGCUCAACGUACAGGCUGCCGGGAAUACUGCAGCGCUAGGGAGUGGGAGAGGUAGACGGUACUCGGUAGGAAGGGGUAAAAUCCUUUGAUCUAUUGAUGACCACCUGUGGCGAAGGCGGUCCACCAGAACACGUCCGACGGUGAGGGAUGAAAGCUGGGGGAGCAAACCGGAUUAGAUACCCGCGUAGUCC
rnacentral:rRNA from 1 species